CGAUAGCGAGGGAUACAAAUAUUUGGAUGAAAUCUGUGGAUUCGGUGGGGUAAUCGAGUAUCUUCCUAAAGAUUGGGGUCAUGUUCUACAGGAGACAUUUCAACCCUGGGGAACUUCAAAGCCGUAGCUGUUAAUUCAAAAGUCUUAAAGGGAAAAACAGUGUCCCAGAGAGAUUGCUUAGCUAAUAGUUAUUGUGAUGGGUAAUUAUAAGCACUUUUAGUUUGUCACUUUCCGUGCACAAAGCCAAUGAAAAUAUCUGAAAAUCCAAUAUAAUGAACUGCAUGUCUGGUGUCUUGCAUAUGUGGGUCUGUAAUCAGCAAUAAACAAAAUAUAUUUCCACAAAGUUGUGUGAUUUUCCUUUUUCUGUGUUCCCAAGCAUUGGGAGGGACUCUGGUUUCUUUUGUCAUGAUCGUUGUAAUUACAUUGAAUUGUCACAUGUUGGGUUCAGUAUAUACUAGGUAUAACAUCCUUACUCAAAUAAAAAUACAACAUCUCAGACCCAUGGACAAAUGCCUAAUAUUAUCCAGCAACACAGACGGUUUACUGUACGGCUUGUGUGCCAUCCCACCCAAGAGAUUGAAAAUGUAACAAACAUCCAUUGAUUAUAAGCGUUUGGAGAGUGCAGUAAAGUAGGGAAGAGAAGAGCUCAUACCCUGAAGGCUGAUUCACUGUCACAGCAUAUAAAUCAAAGAAGGAAUAGGCGAGGGGGUGGGGGGUGGAGCGACAGUCAGGUCGGGGUUUUCCAUGUGUGUACACCUACAGGUCUCACUGACACUAGAAAACAUCCAUCCAGGGAUAGAGACGAUGCUUAAUAACGCCAUACAAUAGGCUACUACAUAUCAGGACCCUCUGCAGUCAGUUGUAUGCCUUCUAAUGAUUUGAGCCGUGAUGAAGUUCAGUGAGACACUCCUCCUUCUCAGCCUGUCUCUACUAAGCUGUGGCUCUCGCCGGGAUCCAGAAUGUUCCAGCGUGAGCUUGUGGGGGAAGAUGGCUGACUUCACAGGGGAGUGCAGUUACUGGCAGCUGAGUCCGGACCUCUCCAUCCCUGCCCUGGAGGAGCUCAGCGUGUGUGUUCACCUCCAGCGGCACAUCAGCACACCAGCCUGGACAGCCUUCAUGUACCGCCACCCUGACGGGCUGCAGGCUGAGCUGGGCCUGGCGGGUCAGGAGGGCCUGGUCCACACCUGGCUGUUUGGGAUGAGGUGGUCAGCCCCCCUCCACCUCCCCCUGGGCCACUGGCACUACGUCUGUAUAACCUGGUCUGGGGCUUCUCACCAGCCAGCCCUCUACGUCAAUGGGACCAGUGUGGAUGUUACAGCCCAUGCUAACGAAUCCCCCCUGUCCCCGUCCUGCUGCAGGCUGGCCCCGCACGGCACGCUCAGCCUGGGUGUCUCCCACUACUUCAUCCAAGGGGAGAUGCAUGUGGAAAACGGUACCAACCUCAAUGGGAGUGUUUCUCUGUUCCGCGUGUGGGGGCAGGCACGCACCCCUGAACAGGUGUCGGACCUGAGCUGCACAGAGGGGGAUGAGGUGCGCUGGGAUGCUGUUGACUGGCUUACCCUGAGCUGCCCUCCAGUCCCAGACUCCCAUCUACAGUGUGCCUGGUCUUUGUACGAACUUAAAGUCAAGAUCGCCAUCAUCUGCUACGAUGGAAACAGUACAGAUGUAUACAAAGCCAGAGACCUUGCACAGAAAUGGCUCAGACACAUAUUACCAUCCAACAAAUAUCAUUUGUACAGAGUCUCUGUGUCUGUGUCAACCAGUGUCGGUGAGACAUAUGAGGACGAGGCCCAUGUAAGUGUUGAACUUGACGGAAUGACGAUACUACACAGUAACAACAAUAACGGGAUAGUUACAUAUACAUUUACUCUGAUGAUAAUCCGUGCAACGUUUUUAGAGAACAGAUGAUAUAGCAUGUACUACAAUUUCAAUUCCCCAGGACAAACCAAUAUUGCGGGCUGAAUUUGAUGCAAACCGGUAAGAAAGGCAUUAUUCUGGUGGCGUUCAUAAGUUUUGAGUUUCCCUUUUUUUUGAAUGGUCUCUGUGACACUACAAUUGGCAGAAAUGAACACAAAAAUAUACACACUGUUUAACAUGUCCAGGAGCUGAUUGAAGCUAUAGGUUUGGGAAUAAAAGGACUUGCCCUUGUUGUGGUUUGAUAAUUGCUGUAUUCACCACACAGCUUUGACUGCCUGGUCCACCUCAACGUGAUCCCCAGCUCUGAUGUCAGUACAGUGCAGAAACAGGUCUCUCAGUUGCUGAACACACCUCACAACGUCGGAUAUCUCACGCUAAUGGCUAACCCCAAGAGCAUCCAAGUGAACGCUGUAGGUAAGUCACAAACCAUUCCAAAAGGAAUCCCACCUCUGGAGAAAAAGUCAUAACUAAAGAGUAGCCAACUGGGGAAGAACGGUUACUGAAUGAUUAGGCCCAGAGUUGUUCCUGGUCACAUGGCCAGGAGGACAGAUUCCUGGCCCUAUAUAUGAUAUAGAAAAGUGAUGCCAAUGCAGGUCCAUGGUUCCACUGUGAUGAUGAGA
ensembl:lncRNA